rnacentral:rRNA from 1 species
GAUGAACGCUGGCGGCGUGCCUAAUACAUGCAAGUCGAGCGAACAGACUAGGAGCUUGCUUCUCUGACGUUAGCGGCGGACGGGUGAGUAACACGUGGAUAACCUACCUAUAAGACUGGGAUAACUUCGGGAAACCGGAGCUAAUACCGGAUAAUAUAUUGAACCGCAUGGUUCAAUAGUGAAAGACGGUUUUGCUGUCACUUAUAGACGGAUCCGCGCCGCAUUAGCUAGUUGGUAAGGGAACGGCUUACCAAGGCGACGAUGCGUAGCCGACCUGGGAGGGAGAUCGGCCACACUGGAACUGAGACACGGUCCAGAGUCCUACGGGAAGCAGAAGUAGGGAAUCGUCCGCAAUGGGCGAAGGCGUGACGGAGCAACGGCGCGGGAGUGAUGAAGGACUUCGGAUCGUAGAACUCUGUUAUUAGGGAAGAACAAAUGUGUAAGUAGCUAUGCACGACUUGACGGUACCUGAUCAGAAAGCCACGGCUAACUACGUG